rnacentral:rRNA from 1 species
GAUGAACGCUGGCGGCGUGCCUAAUACAUGCAAGUCGAGCGAACAGAUGAGGAGCUUGCUCCUCUGACGUUAGCGGCGGACGGGUGAGUAACACGUGGAUAACCUACCUAUAAGACUGGGAUAACUUCGGGAAACCGGAGCUAAUACCGGAUAAUAUAUUGAACCGCAUGGUUCAAUAGUGAAAGACGGUUUUGCUGUCACUUAUAGAUGGAUCCGCGCCGCAUUAGCUAGUUGGUAAGGUAACGGCUUACCAAGGCAACGAUGCGUAGCCGACCUGAGAGGGUGAUCGGCCACACUGGAACUGAGACGCGGUCCAGACUCCUACGGGAGGCAGCAGUAGGGAAUCUUCCGCAAUGGGCGAAAGCCUGACGGAGCAACGCCGCGUGAGUGAUGAAGGUCUUCGGAUCGUAAAACUCUGUUAUUAGGGAAGAACAAAUGUGUAAGUAACUACGCACGUCUUGACGGUACCUAAUCAGAAAGCCACGGCUAACUACGUG